AUGGUGUCCUUGGAGAGUUCUCAUGGACAUUACAGAAUCGGAUUCAGGUCAUAUUCAUGCGUAUUUGGCACAUUGCAACCGAGUACUGCAUCUUUGAAGGAAGAAUCGCUCCGCGCAGAUAACAAUCAGCAAGUUGCGGUUACCUUAUCCAAAUAUUGUGCAUAUUUGAUGGCAUUCAUCCCAGAUUUGCUUCCUGAGAACUCUACGGACACAACGUUUCUCUUCAGUUGCGUGCAACGGAAAGUAAGAGAGAUGCUUCGAGGGGGAAGCCGAGUAUGGGUAGAUUGCUCAAGCUCGUCGAUGAUUCCAAAGGUAGCAGCAAUGAACAUACUGCUCUCCAUGGUUCCAGAAGCAACGACGAUGACGAUACCACAAUCCAGAUAUCAAGCGGCAACAACCCCGAGGAUAGAAAUCCCCACAGUUCCACUUCCACAAAUAAUAGCAUCGAAGAUACCAUACUCGUUAAAGGCUUGA
rnacentral:rRNA from 1 species